CGUGGCACAGAUCUCAGUUUGAGAGAGCCUUUCUUAACCCAGGCACAAUCCUGUUAUCCUGAGGUUUAAGGGAGGGUGAGCUUGGGAGAACAGAAGUUUCAGGCCAGUCUGAGAAGCAAAUUUCUGAGGCUCCAUUUCAGUGGAAGAAACCGGAUAUGGUGGUGUUUAUCAUCCCAGCUAUGACAAGAACCAAAUAUAGGCACUCUAGGCCUGCACCUGAGCAAAAAGUGAGUCACUAACUCAAUCUUAACCAGUGCAGAAAAGAGCUGAAGGUGUGGGUGAGUGGUAGAGUGCAUACUGAAUUCAAAACACUAGUACUACCGAAUGAAUAAUGAACUUAGUAAGUGAAUAAUGAACUUAGGUAAGAAUGA